UCCUGUCUUUAUGCUAGUCUUUUGUUGUUUAAUAAUAUAGUUGUAAUCCUUACUAAAAUAUGAUUUUAUCGACACUACCAAAAGCGUUGCUUUAUUACGUUCAACAGUAUUUUAGUUCGUCGGGCCCUUUUGACAAAAGCCAGUAUUGUUUGCUUUUACACAAUUCGCUUUUCUCCAGACUGAGUAUAUUUUCAAAAUUGACCUCCGGAUACCAACUAACAGAUUGUGUGAAAACCUCCUUUUUUUUCUGACUGCCAUAAUUUUAAAAGCAGACAACCGGAAAUGCGGAAUGAUUGCCAUAUCGCCGUUACUUUAAAUCCCCACACUGACCAAAAAUAUAAUGGUUCGCGCCAUUUUUAUUAUAAAUGAUUUUGCCUCGGUUUUGUGCAAAAAUAAAUUCCGAAAAUACCAACAAUGAAUAAUCGUGGCUAAGAAGGUCCUUGAGCGUUUGUGGUUUAUUGCAGUAAGCGCCAUUUAUUGGACAUGAUCCCAAAGAAAUAUAUCCAAUGAAAUCGUAUGGCACGAUCGUACGAACAAGUCCCCUCGGCAUUUUUGAAGAUUACGUGGUCAUUGAACUUUUCUCGCAAUAAAUUGAUUUUGUCACGAGAUAUACGGCAUGUUGCGCCAUUUUGUUGAAUUCGCACAUCAUCUAAGGUAAAUUCACAAAAUAUUACUAAACUCGUGUAAAAGG